CUUUAUUUAAAGCAAUUUAGGAUUUGCUUAUCUCUACCUCUGAUCUUUGGUUCACAAAGCCAAUCAAUCACAUCUAUUUUUUUUUCUUCUUCAUGGAAGCCUUUCAUCGUGCUUGUUGAAAAUGAGGUUGGAGCACCUAUCGGAGCCCAAGGUAAGCCCCAUCGCUCCAUCUCUCUUUUCUCCUCCUUCCCAUCACGUU
rnacentral:lncRNA from 1 species